CACGUAGGGGGCAAGCGUUGUCCGGAUUCAUUGGGCGUAAAGAGCUCGUAGGCGGUUUGGCAAGUCGGAUGUGAAAACUCCAGGCUCAACCUGGAGCCGCCAUUCGAUACUGCUAUGACUAGAGUCCGGUAGGGGAGUGUGGAAUUCCCGGUGUAGCGGUGAAAUGCGCAGAUAUCGGGAGGAACACCGAUGGCGAAGGCAGCACUCUGGGCCGGUACUGACGCUGAGGAGCGAAAGCGUGGGGAGCGAACAGG
rnacentral:rRNA from 1 species